AGACUGCGGUUCCUCUCGACAAGGCCAUGGAGCUUGCUUCUUAGAAGUGCAACACAUGCAUCUCCCUCCCUCAUCAUAUCUUCUUCAUAAGUGGAGUGCGGUUCAUGAACUGUGUAAGAUGCUUCAUCAAGAUCUGUUGAUGGACCCAUGGUUGCAUGUGCCAUUGUGCUUAAUGGUGUAUCUACAGUGGCAUUCAUAAAUGUGAGGAACCAAAGCCAUCUAAUUGCCGGUACUGUAAAUGGCUGUACGUGGGACUCAUCAUUUUUCAAUUUGUAUAUCGAUAAGGUCAUCCACCACCGAUUCUCCCAGGUGUUUUGCACGCCAAGAUGGAGUGAACACACAUACAGCCUGGCAUGUUUUUCUUGUUAACAAAAGUUUUACCAAACAUAAUUACAUCGGUGAAGGCAACUUGAUACCUGCCACGGAAAAAGUGAGUUUUACUCCAGCUAAACAUCGGUGCGUGGCUGUGACCGGGAUGGCAACCCGUGUAGAAAUGUGGGCAUUGUGCGCAUCAGCGUCAGGCUUUUCCAGUGAAGUUUGGGCGGUGCUGGAUCUGAAGAUUGUUCUGGCUUGGCUACUGGUGUCAGAGACACAGAAUAUACGAGAUUUCUUCACGAAAGGUGACACCCUUGUAUUGCAUCAGCUCGCCGUUCAUCUUUCGGUUGUUUGUACGAUCCAACAGCUACCCGGGACUUUUUGCUUGACGGAACACACCUGUGUCUCACAUUCUCAGUUUCUCACUGUCUCAUAUGGCUUUCAGGCUAGGGCAAAUUGUCAAUGUGGGGGCUCCGAUCACAUAUGACACAACUGGACCUUACCGACAGCGAGGUCCAGAAGAGAAAUCCUUCGGUGAUGACUGAUGAUGAAGUAAUUAGCAGAGCUGACGGAGACACGAGAGUAAUUCUUGGGUGAUGACUGAUUAUUACGGCCUUAAUGAUGGAAGAGACGCAUGGUUUGGUGCCGAACCACUGUGAGCGGAAGGACGGGAAAGGGAGCAAUGUCGCCGUCCGUCUGUCCCACUCGCCGAGCAGGACCGGUCGCCGGCCAGCCGUUGCCGGGACGCACGCCGGACGCGGAGGUGGGACAGCCGCAACAGCAACCUGCACUGCUCCGUGCUUAAUCACCGACACAUAUGCUGGCUGCAUCUGCAGUAUUUCUCCAAGGCUGCUGCACGCCGCACUUCUUUGUUCUGAUUUUCUCGUAGAGUAGUUGAUGGAUCCAUACACAAUAUAACCAGUACUAAUGAUUUAAUGAUUGUUUUAGACAAAAUUAUGGAAACUGGGUAAAGGUCCCAUUCACCGGAA